CAAUAAGGCUGUAACAACAAAAUGUGGGAAAAAAAAAUGAAGCGCUGUGAAUACUUGUCAGGUGCACCAUAUAGUGAAUUUAAAGUCACCAAUUCACUCAACCUGAAGUUUAAUAUUUGUCACGUGUUUGUCUAAGGAAACUCAUGGAAAAUGUAGCCCGUGGUUAGUGUGAGCUACUUGAAUAAAUACAGAACGAUAUAUAAAGACGAAUAUUUCCGAGGUUCUGUGAACGCCGCAUUUGGUCCUUCGCUGUUUCCGUAUUUGGUCGCUUCACCAGAACUUUCAACGCUCCGCAGACUUUCAGCCAGCCGUCCACCAUCUUUGUACUCCUCUUAGAAGCUGUGUGAUGACGUGCGCAAUGUGAGCGUCCAAUCGAAUUGGUUCACCGUCACAUGGUUUUCCAAUAUCCAAUCGUAGGGCAAAGCAGUCUCAGAUGAUACCAAGUGUUGAUGCACCAUUUGGCAAUCGUUUUUGAAACCUCACUUGUGAUGGGCCAGACAACCAGCCUUCAUGUGGAGACGCAACAGCAUUAUUUGGUGAGAAUUCAGCAUGACUUUGUACUCAGAGACUUGUUGCUCAGGUGCUGUAAUGAACCUUUGUGUUGAGCAUGUGUCAAAGAGGGACCCACCAUUCCGAAUUUGUCCUAAAUAUUACGAUUUUGACACACGGUGUACAACUUUCCGAUAUCUAACUUUAACAAGGCCAGUUUUGUUUAGUUUUAAAUCAUUUCAGGGAUUUUCUGCAAUUCUUCCAUGUGGGUAACUGUCAGCGAGAAUCUGAUUAGAAUUUAAUUAUAAAUUGGAUGAAUAAAGUGUUUUAACAAUUUGAUUUGUAUAUGAAUGUUUUUUUUUCCCCGCAAGCACAGCAACUCAUCCAUGUUUUCUGACAAGCAAAGUGAAAGCAGUGAAUGAAUAUCAUCAUUUCAGUGCACUUUUUUUUUUUGUACCAUUGAACCCAUUUUAUUUCUUGGUAUCGUAAUGAUAUUCACAAUUGUAAAUUGUGCGUGUCAAGAGAAACUGCUGUCCUUCUGUCCGGCAAAAUCUUUCGUGUCCUAAAACUCAAGAACUGCAAAACUCUCAAAAUCUAAAUUUUUAUACAUUGAAACUGGGAGGUCAGAGCUCUGCUUGGCAAAAAAAAGAAUGCAUUUCUGACAAUUAUAAGUGCUUCUUUUUUUAUACUGAAUUUUGAGUUUCAAGUAGGAAAUGUAACAGAAGCCAUGAAAUGCUCACUUCACCCACUAGAUGUCAACAAAAGCUACUCAAAUGUGUGGCAAGGUGUUGAUCUUUUACUCGUUUUAGAAGUUACCUUUUGGUGAAAAUAAGUUGGGCUGACAGCUAAAAAUCAACUUACAGUUGUGUUCUUUGCCCUUAUGGGCAGUUUACUUGUUUUGAAUAAUUGCUGAUAAUAAAAAAAGCCAUUAAUUUUAAAAGCUAAAACUCUAUAUUGACAAAUGUAAAAUAGCAGGGGUGGUGACAAAGUGGUUGGUGCGCUUGGUUUCAGUGGGUAAGGUUUCUGGUUCAAACCCCACCCCUGCCACUUUUCUCCAUGUAAUGUUGAGUUGAAUCUGGUGUGG